GUGCUCACCCUGGCAGCACAUAUACUAAAAUUGGAACAAGACAGGAUUAGCAUGGCCCCUGCUUAAGGAUGAUAUGCAAACUUGUGAAGCAUUCCAUAUUUAA
ensembl:snRNA U6 U6 spliceosomal RNA